GGCCGCGGUAUUUUGACCGUGCAAAGGUAGCAUAAUCAUUAGUCUUUUAAUUGGAGGCUGGAAUGAAUGGUUUGACGAAGCAAUAACUGUCUCGGGUUAAUGAAAUUGAAUUUUAUUUUUGAGUUAAAAAGCUUAAAUGAUAAUAGGGGACGAGAAGACCCUAUAGAUCUUGAAAUGUUAUUAUGAUAAUGUAUAGGUAGUUGUAUUAGAUUAUUAUUAUAAUGAAUUUUUUGGUUGGGGUGACAGGAGAAUAGAAAAACUUCUUUAAUUUUGACUGUGAUGUUUGGUUAUAUGAUCCUAUAUUAUGGAAUUAAGAUAAAGAUACCUUAGGGAUAACAGCGUAAUUUUAUUGGAGAGUUCAUAUUGAUAAUAAAGAUUGCGACCUCGAUGUUGGAUUAAGAAUAUAAUUAGGUGCAGAAGUUUAAAUUGUUGGUCUGUUCGACCAUUAAAAUCUU
rnacentral:rRNA from 1 species